UGGGGGAAGUCUGAGUGAUGCACUUCGGUGCAUCUUUUGCCAAGUAUAGCAAGCUUGGCGAAUAAGUGCUGGGUAAGACGGGUGGCAGCCGCCACGGUAAUACCCGCGGCACGAGUGGUGUCCACGAUUAUUGGGCUUAAAGCGUCCGUAGCCGACUGAAAUAGUCUCAUGUGAAAUAUACGUGCUUUACACCUAUGCUGGCAUGAGAUACUUUUCAGUUAGGGAGUGGGCGAGGUCGAGGGUACUUAUAGGGGAGGGGUUAAAUCCUGUAAUCCUAUAAGGACCACCGGUGGCGAAGGCGCUCGACCAGAACACAUCCGACGGUGAGUGACGAAGGCUAGGAGAACGAAUCGGAUUAGAUACCCGAGUAGCCCUAGCAGUAAAUUAUGCAGACUCUGGUGUUGCACUUGCUAAGAGCUGGUGCAGUACCGUAGGGAAACUGUUAAGUCUGCCGCCUGGGGAGUACGGCCGCAAGGUUGAAACUUAAAGCAAUUGGCGGGGGAGCACACAUGGGGUGGAUGCUACGGUUUAAUUGAAUCCAACGUCGGGAACAUUACCUGGAGCGACGGCAAGAUGAUGGUCAGGCUAAAGACCUUACCAGAUGAGCCGAGAGGUGGUGCAUGGCGAUCGUCAGUUCGUGGUGUGAACUGUCCGGUUAAGUCCGGUAAGUAAUUGAGUGAUGCUAUGAAAGCGAAACUAAGCAAAGAAUUAUGCUAUAUCGCUGGUCUUUCAAGGCUUAGCGAUAGCGAAAAAUCUCUAGUCUAUGCUAAGAGUGAGAUUAGAGAAAUAGUAGAGAAAUUCAUAAGAGAAGCAAUAAAGCUUGGGGUAGAUCCAAGAAAGAUAAUAGUAAAUGAGAAAGAGAGUGAAGCAAAAUUUUACCAUUCAAAGCUGGCAAGGAAUAUAAGAGAAAUAAUAGAGAAUGAAACAAAGAUAUUCAAGCAUAAAAAUGAAU
rnacentral:rRNA from 1 species